UCCUCCUUAGCUCAGUUGGUUAGAGCAUCUGACUGUUAAUCAGAGGGUCUCAGGUUCAAGUCCUGAAGGGGGAGCCA
rnacentral:tRNA from 11 species